CAAAACCUCACAAAUGAAUAAAAACCUGAGGAACAACAGACUCCUUCACAUGCCGUGCCUUGAUUUGGACUACAUAGGCCAAAGGUUUUGACUGCUCAUCAUUCAUCAUUUUGUCUCUCGCUGUCGUUCUCUAAAACCUAAACGAGAAUUAUGGAUUUGAUCAACUGGUCUCUGAAUGCUAUUGACACCCUCUUCUCAACGAGAAGUCUGGGCUUGGGAGAGCCUGAGUGCCCUGGAGGGACUUUCCCUGCCGGAUACACGAUGGACGGGUGGCAGACAUGGAGGGUCGUGUGCCUGGCGGGACUGUCGAUCGAGGACGCUGAAGAUAUCUAUCUAUUCGGAACCGUGAUAACAGGGUUCUUGCUGAUCGGAGUUGGCUUAGCCCUGGUUUAUCGGAGAAAUAAGAGAGCGGAACCGGCUGUUCAAACCCCCCCAUGGCUGCCCGCUGGAAUCAAAGCGAUGGUACGAGGCACGACCUCUCACAACGAACGCCGCAUGGUUAACACCUUGGAGACGCUUACAGCUGCUGUGAAGGCUCAAAAUAACACCAUUGAGCGUAUGAGGGGAUACAUCAGAGAGAGGCCUGCUCAAAAUGAGACCCUUGAGCGACAGUUGGAACACAUCGCGGAACGGAUCACUGCAGUUGUGAGGUCUCAGAAUCAAAAGAAUGACAACACCACGGAACGGAAGUUUGAUACCAUCAUGGGGAGGCUCGCGGCUCUCCAACGGGAGAUUGAGAGACCAGCGUCAGAGUGUUAAAGAGCAGCCUGAAAAUUCUCCUGGGCUGCUCGCAUGGAAAUUUACAAAAUCAAUAUCGAAAUUGCGGACCCCCAUCACGGCGCCAGCUGCAGGCCCAAGGCUGGAGCCGAACAAUCACUCCCUGAUAAUGACUGUGUUAUGGCUGUUCUUCCCAUCCCAUGCAAGGACACCUGGAUUGGCUGGAGGACUGUUUACUUAGCCUGAUAGGGUGAAGGACACUGUCUCAGCUGAACUAUGGACACGCACACACACACACUUACACUGAUAAGCACUCACUCAUCCCCCUUCCCCUUCCAACACCUUCGAUGCUUACCUGUCCCAUGAUGUGGACGUCGGGUCAGCUGGCGGCGCAGUCGAAAGAUUGCAGCAGUUCCCAGAUCAGAUGUACACACUGUGUUUAUUGUGUUAUGAUAUCCCCUACCCAACCCUGUGGCUUGUCAUGUCUUUCACUAUGUGGUGAUGUGUCCAUUCUUAUGGUCUUUUAUUUGGUGCAGAGGAGUUUUUUUUGUUUCCUGCUCUCGUGCUGUCCUGCAAUGGAAGCGCAGCAUGAGUGGGGGUCUCUUUUUUUCCUCUUGUACCAUCCCGUUGUUGUGUAUAUUUCAGUGUUUUUUUUCCUUCUGUAACGCUGCCAAUCUCCGACUUGUAACCCCAUGUGAUGUCUGUGUUAUGUGUGUAAUGUCGGGGGGGGGGUCCCAUUUUCGCUGCAGGGCAACCUGCUUGCGACAAAUAAAGCUUGAUGAUACUGAUACUGAUACUGAAUUGGACCCAAUGGUACUGGCCAGUCAGCACAAGGCCCACUAGAGUCUGUUUCUUAGUCAGAGAGUGUAGGUCACUGUCGGUCAUUUUCUUGGUCUCUACCAGUACUUAACCUGUUCCUCUUUGAACAAAGGUGCAGAUACCAGUAAUUCAGAUAAGUUAAGAGUGUUCUAUGGCCCUCUCCUAGAGAAAUUGUC
ensembl:lncRNA